UACCAGCUCUCCGAGUGGUGUGGAUGUUUAUUGGGCCUAAAGCAUCGGUAGCUGGCUGGGCAAGUCCCCUGUUAAAUCCACCGAUUUAAUCGUUGGUGUGCGGGGGAUACUGUUCGGCUAGGGGACGGGAGAGGCCGACGGUAUUUUCGGGGUAGGGGUGAAAUCCUAUAAUCCCGGGAAGACCACCAGUGGCGAAGGCUGUCGGCUAGAACGCGCCCGACGGUGAGGGAUGAAAGCUGGGGGAGCGAACCGGAUUAGAUACCCGGGUAGUCCCAGCUGUAAACGAUGCAGGCUAGGUGUUUGGGCGGCCACGUGCCGCUCUAGUGCCGCAGAGAAGUCGUUAAGCCUGCCGCCUGGGGAGUACGGCCGCAAGGCUGAAACUUAAAGGAAUUGGCGGGGAGCACCACAAGGGGUGAAGCUUGCGGUUU
rnacentral:rRNA from 1 species